AAGGUUUCCAGGGUAAAGCUGAUCUGCCCUGGGUAAGUCGGGGCCUAAGGCGAGGUCGAAAGACGUAGUCGAUGGAUAACAGGUUGAAAUUCCUGUACUAUCCUGUAACAGAACUGUGGGGACGCAGACAGAGAGCACAAGCCGGGAAUGGAAAGACCGGUGCAAGCGAGGUAGGAGUACAUCAGGCAAAUCCGGUGUGCAAUCCGAAGACGUGAUGCGGAUCGAAAAGAAGUAGAGAAGUGUGUGAGCUGGCUGCCAAGAAAAGCCGCUAUUGUUUACAGGAUACCCGUACCGUAAACCGACACAGGUGGAUGAGGAGAGAAUCCUAAGGCCGACGGGAGAAGCAUUGUUAAGGAACUCGGCAAAAUGACUCCGUAACUUCGGGAGAAGGAGUGCCAUGCGAAUGGCCGCAGAGAAUUGGCCCAAGCAACUGUUUAGCAAAAACACAGGUCUAUGCGAAACCGAAAGGUGAGGUAUAUGGGCUGACGCCUGCCCGGUGCUGGAAGGUUAAGGGGAGAGGUUAGCGCAAGCGAAGCUUUGAACUUAAGCCCCAGUAAACGGCGGCCGUAACUAUAACGGUCCUAAGGUAGCGAAAUUCCUUGUCGGGUAAGUUCCGACCCGCACGAAAGGCGUAAUGAUUUGGGCACUGUCUCAACAAUGCACCCGGUGAAAUUGAAAUACCAGUGAAGAUGCUGGUUACCUGCGCCAGGACGGAAAGACCCCAUGGAGCUUUACUCUAGCUUGAUACUGGGAUUCGAUAUUGCAUGUACAGGAUAGGUGGGAGACUAGGAAGUGGUGACGCCAGUUGCCAUGGAGUCAAUGUUGGGAUACCACCCUUGCAGUAUUGGGUUUCUAACCAGCAGCCGUGAUCCGGCUGGGGGACAAUGUCAGGUGGGGAGUUUGACUGGGGCGGUCGCCUCCGAAAGGGUAUCGGAGGCGCUCAAAGGUUCCCUCAGAAUGGUUGGAAACCAUUCGAAGAGUGCAAAGGCAGAAGGGAGCUUGACUGCGACACCGACGGGUGGAGCAGGUACGAAAGUAGGACUUAGUGAUCCGGUGGUAUAAAGUGGGAUUGCCAUCGCUCAACGGAUAAAAGCUACCCUGGGGAUAACAGGCUUAUCACUCCCAAGAGUUCACAUCGACGGAGUGGUUUGGCACCUCGAUGUCGGCUCAUCGCAUCCUGGGGCUGUAGUCGGUCCCAAGGGUUGGGCUGUUCGCCCAUUAAAG
rnacentral:rRNA from 1 species